AAGGGUAUAGCUCAGUGGUAGAGUAUGUGCAUAGUAUGCACGAGGACCUGAGUUCAAUCCCCAGUACCUCCA
rnacentral:tRNA from 1 species